AUGUUUGCUAUAUGUCAGGUUGUCAAUUUUUGUUAUUAUGGGUGUAUUGUUGUUGUGUACGGGCAUGUUGAUGUCUAUUAUUUCUUUACUUGCAGGAGUUGGCUGCAGACUUUUUUAAAGCAAAUUUUAAAAUGUGUCCCGUCGGAAGGAGAUCCACCGAAAGACUAUACCACUAUACGUGUGUCUUGUGUUAAUGCUUUAAAUCGAAUGGCCUUGAACUACUUGUUUGGGAAGGUCGUAUAUUUUUUUUAAAAAUAUUAAAAUUAGCCAAUCUGACUUUGCGGAGUUUGGGAUGUUUUGCUGCCCCGUUGAGACGUAACUAUGACUCUGGUGUCGUCGUUAUGCCAGAAGGAGGCGGACAGCAAAUUUCAGAGGCUGCUUUAGCAGGUCUUCAUCCUCAAGACAAAUGGGUGGAAGAAUGUGCCAGCAGCCAACAGUUUGUGGCUUUUCGGGAACCCAAAUGGGACAGCAAACGCAUUUCGUGACAUUAAUGGGAUCAGUUUCCAAUACCUUUUGUGUUUACAUUCCUCCCGCGAGUCUUGUCUGUAUACUUUCUGCACACACAAGUUGAGCUGAAUAAAUGUGUUUGAAAAAAUAAAUACGAAUGCCAUGGAUGACCUUUGGAGUAAACACGCACACCUCUUGUCAGUUCAAAGCCACAUGAGCCUUUUGAAGAGGCGUUCCAGCCGCAUGUCGGAAUAAUGAUAAUACACUAUUAUAAUUGUAUAUUUAUUUUACAUGUGAUAUUACUAAUACUGCAAUACAUUCGUAUAGUACAAUCUAUAUAUAUAAAAUAGUGAUGGAAUCCUGGCGACCGCCAAAACAACAAAACUAAACACCCCACAACCUCGAAAAUGGACAACACAACCCAUCAUCCACGCCUCUAGGUUGAUACAACAAAAAGAAAAUAAAAAUAAAAUCCUAAUUAGAGGAAGAGGAAUAAUUGUUUUUAUCCAAUUGCUGCCAGUUAGAAGGCUAAGCUCCGCCCACUUGGUCUCCUAGCAACCCAUGCAGCCCAGGGGACAGGCAGAGUUAGGCCUCUUCCACACUGCCUAUAAAAUACAGAUUAUCAGAUUUUAACUGGAUUAGAUGGGAGUGUAGACUCAAGGCCCUUCCACACAAAUAUAUAACCCAUAUAAUUUUAUAUUAUCUGCUUUAACUGGGAUUAUCCGGACUCCACACCUUUACCUUAACUACCACCAAUUCCUCAAUACUUUAUUUCCCAUACAUACUUCGCCACAGCAACGCGUGACUGGGCACAGCUAGUAUAAUAUAUAACGCUUAUAUAUGCUUACAUUGUGCUAUACUAAUAAUAUAUUAUAUGUAUAUAUAACUUGUAAGCUGCCCUGAAUCCCCUUUGGAGUGAGAAGGGUGGGAUAUAAAUGUCGCUAAUAAAUAAAUAAUGCCAUAAUCCACCUCUGUGCAUCAAAGAGUCCAUAGAAGCACUUGUUGUGAUCUCUGUUUUAUGUGGUACUAGCUUGGGUGCCUGGCAGUGCCCAGAUUAUUUGAAAAAGUCAAUGUUUUAAUUGUACAAAAUGCAUAAGGUUGUGGAUUAACUUUGUCUUGGGUUGCUGGCUCUGGAUGAUGGGCAUUAAUAAUGAUGAUGGUACUAAUAAUAAUUUAAUAAUAUGUAAUAAUAAUUUAUAUUAAUUUUAUUUUUAUAAUAGUAAUAAUAUUUUAAUAAUAAUAAAUAACACUUGGGAAGUGUUUGACUUGUGAUUUUGUGAAACGAAAUCCAGCAUAUCUAUCUAGUUUGCUGUGUCAUACAAUAAAAUAAUAAUAAUAAAUCCUGCCAGCUCCUUAUGGAUUCAAGAUCAUUGAAGCAAGAGGAUCCGGUCUUUUUUCAUCCCGAGAAGCAUCCAAGUUGACCUGGCCCUACAUUUGUAUGCAAGCUGUGCCAAAGGACUGCCAUAUGAUCCACAUAAGCCCAAAGGGGAUUACAACUAUUUGUAAAUAUUAAAAGCAAAAUCAGGUGGUGAAAAAAAUGAUAAUGGAACAGGAGGCCUCAUCCAAUCUCCUUGAGUGCUUGCAUUAUUUUUUAAGCUGGAAGUUUAACCUCCCAAUUUGUCGGCCAGUGUGCUUUCAAGAUAAUGGGGAAAAUUCCCCGGAGCAUUUGCUUAUUUAAUAUAUUGCUGUGAAAUAUUCCCUUUGCUGCCUCUUGAUGCAGCAAAGGGACCUGGUUUUCUAUAAGGAGGAAAAGGCAGCAGCUAAAUUGCUUGCUCUGCGUUUCAGAUGCUCCUAACUAACCGGCAAUGUUUAUGGUCUUGCUGUUAAGAGUUUUGGGACUAUCUUGAUUUGAAAAAUCCGCUUUUUAAAAAUUGACAGCACUCAGAAUUUCCUGGCUACCAUUAGGGAAUUCUGAGAGUUAUAGUCCUGAAAUGACUAUACAGGGAAACAAAACCUCUGAUGAUGAAGAUGCUGGGUUGCUGUGAGUUUUCCAAGAUGUCUAGCCUUGUUCCAGAAGCAUUCUCUCCUGACGUUUCACCCAACAUCUAUGGCAGGCGUCCUCGAGAGGUUGUGAGGUCUGUUGGAAACUAAGGAAGUGAGGUUUAUAUAUCUGGAAGGGACAAAGUUGGGUUGCUGUGAGUUUUCCAAGCUGUCUGGCCAUGUUCCAGAAGCAUUCUCUCCUGACGUUUCACCCAACAUCUGUGGCAGGCAUCCUCAGAGGUUGUGAGGUCUGUUGGAAACUAAGGAAGUGAGGUUUAUAUAUCUGUGGAAGGGACAGAGUUGGGUUGCUGUGAGUUUUCCGAGCUGUCUGGCCAUGUUCCAGAAGCAUUCUCUCCUGACGUUUCACCCAACAUCUGUGGCAGGCAUCCUCAGAGGUUGUGAGGUCUGUUGGAAACUAAGGAAGUGAGGUUUAUAUAUCUGUGGAAGGGACAGAGUUGGGUUGCUGUGAGUUUUCCGAGCUGUCUGGCCAUGUUCCAGAAGCAUUCUCUCCUGACGUUUCACCCAACAUCUGUGGCAGGCAUCCUCAGAGGUUGUGAGGUCUGUUGGAAACUAAGGAAGUGAGGUUUAUAUAUCUGUGGAAGGGACAAAGUGGGGUUGCUGUGCGUUUUCCGAGCUGUCUGGCCAUGUUCCAGAAGCAUUCUCUCCUGACAUUUCUCCCAACAUCUGUGGCAGGCAUCCUCAGAGGUUGUGAGGUCUGUUGGAAACUAAGGAAGUGAGGUUUAUAUAUCUGUGGAAGGGACAAAGUGGGGUUGCUGUGAGUUUUCCGAGCUGUCUGGCCAUGUUCCAGAAGCAUUCUCUCCUGACGUUUCACCCAACAUCUGUGGCAGGCAUCCUCAGAGGUUGUGAGGUCUGUUGGAAACUAAGGAAGUGAGGUUUAUAUAUCUGGAAGGGACAGAGUUGGGUUGCUGUGAGUUUUCCGAGCUGUCUGGCCAUGUUCCAGAAGCAUUCUCUCCUGACAUUUCAUCCAACAUCUGUGGCAGGCAUCCUCAGAGGUUGUGAGGUCUGUUGGAAACUAAGGAAGCGAGAUUUAUGUAUCUGUUUUGCACUUGUUAUACCCAAUAAGUACAGGAAGUUUCCAAGAUUUUAUGCAAAACAGGAACAACAUUAACAAUAAAUUUAUCCGGUGUAUGAAAAGCAAUGCAAAAGACCAACUGGAAAGAAAAUAGAAGAAAUAUUUUUUUCUAUUUCUUCCUUUAUGGAAUAGGUUUUUUUCCUCUUUUUUUCCUUUUCUUUUUUUCUUUUGUCUUUUUUUGUUUUUUUCUGCUUUCUCUCCCUUCUCAUCACAAUGUUUUCCCCCACUUUCACUGUAAAUAUUACUUAUAACACAAUAAAAACUAUUUUUUAAAAAAAAUACCAAAAAGUUGACGGGACUACAAUUAUGAAUAAAAUUAAAUAUCUGGGAGUAACCAUUACUUCGAAAAAUGCAGUUGCUGAAAAAUAAUUAUGAAUUGAAAUGGAAGGAGAUCAAGAAAAAUUUGGAAAACUGGAAAUGUUUAAAUCUCUCCUUAAUGGGCAGAAUAGCAGCCAUAAAGAUGAAUAUAUUGCCUAAAAUUCUAUUUAUUUCAAACAAUCACGAUCCUCAGGAACGAACUGGAAAAUAAAGACCUUGCCAAAUUCAUAUGGCAAGGGAAAAAAAACAAGAAUUAAGUUACAAAAUUAAAAAGACGAAAAUAAGAGGUGGAUUAGGUUUACCAGAUUUGAAACUGUAUCAUGAGACCUGUGUAUUAAUAUGGAUUAAAGAGUGGACAGCAUUAAAGCAACAAAAAAAAUUAAUUCUGGAAGGAUUUGAUCUCGGGAGGUUGGCAUUUGUACCUUUGGUACGAUAGAAAGAAAAAAGAAAAAAAAUGGAAAUUAUUUUAUAAGGUUCGCUGGGCAAUAUACAAGGGUUAUCCAGAAAGUAGAUUACGUUUUGGAAUUAAAAAUUAACAAAGUAUAGGAGAAAAUAUUUACCAUAUCCAGUUGAAAGUCACACCCAAAUACCACUUCUCAACAUAAUCGCCAUUCAAAUCUAGGCACUUAUCAUAGCAAUGAAUGAGCUUGGCCACUCCUUCCCCACCAAACUCUGCCGCUUGCGUCCUCAAAAAGUAUAGGAGAAAACAUUUACCAUAUGCAGUAGAAAGCCACAACCAAAUACCACUUCUCAACAUAGUCGCCAUUCAAAUCUAGUCACUUCUCAUAGCGAUAAAUGAGCUUGGCAACUCCUUCCCCACAAAACUCUGCUGCUUGCGUCCUCAAAAAGUACAGGAGAAAACAUUUACCAUAUGCAGUUGAAAGCCACACCCAAAUACCACUUCUCAACAUAGUCGCCAUUCAAAUCUAGGCACUUAUCCUAGCGAUGAAUGAGCUUGGCAACUCCUUCCCCACAAAACUCUGCCGCCUGCGUCCUCAAAAAGUACAGGAGAAAACAUUUACCAUAUGCAGAUGAAAGCCACACCCAAAUACCACUUCUCAACAUAGUCGCCA
rnacentral:lncRNA from 11 species